rnacentral:lncRNA from 1 species
UAGUAAAAUAGUUUAAGUACAGUGAUACUAAAAUAUCCUUGGAAAUGUACCUGGGGAUUGCUAAAAAUUUUUAUUACAUAUCAAAGAUUAAAAUUCUCUAUGGAGACACCUCUAAAGUAAAAAAAAAAAUGAAAUUCAUUAAAUAAAUAGGAAUCAACUGUGCAACAUUUAUCUAAACAUAUAAUUUAUAAGCCAGGAGCAUUGACAUAUGCCUCUAAUUCUAGCCCCAAAAAUGGGAGUUCAUGGACAUCUUAAUCUACAUAGUGAAUUUGAGCCCAACCUGAGAUACAUGAGACUCUAUCACACACACACACACACACACACACACACACACACACACACACAACACACAACACACAUACACCACACAAUAUACACAAACCACAUACAUACAGCACACACACAACACAUACACACCACACCACACCACACCACACCACACAUACACAAUUAAUAUAUAACAAUCAAACAAAUUGACAUGGAUUUCAAAGGUCUGGUAAUCUGGGAGUCUAUCAAGGGCACAUUUAAUUGCUUCUCUUCUUCAUCUAUUUUGAUGGUUAAUAAGCACUUAUUUUACAUGAGUUUCAGGGGAUCUGGCAAUGAGUGAGAGAGAUAGUCUUGCCAUCGUGGAACUUAUUCCUGCUGAGGGACAGAGUUAAGUUCCUCAUAGGUCAGAUGAAAUUCUUGAAAGAUCAGCUUAAAGACGUCCUGAUUAGUCUGGUCUCUGAACUUGGAAUUAAAAUUUCAGUUCAACAGUGUACUGUGCAUUGUCCUUCCAUGAGGUGUUUCCUCAUGAGAGAUGCAGCAUGUCACAUGACUUUGAGUACAAACAAGAGUCUACCAAGAUGGUUCUCUUCAGAAAAUAAAGGCAGCCUUCAGCCAUCGGGAAGAAGCAUAUCCUGCAUUGGAAGACUUUGUUCUGGUCUGGUUUUCUUAAGUAAUCCUAACAGCUAAUCCCUGCUACAGAAAAUGUCAUGGCACUUUAAACUCAAGUGCAAGCUGUUGAGAGCCCACAUAAACAAGCCACUUCAGAUGAAUUUUAUCAAAGGGUAUCUCAGUGUUCCAGGAUAAAAAGAAAAUUUCUUAGCUUUAAUUUGGGGGGAAAAAUUUUCAAAGAGCACAUUCCUCCUCAGGAUCUAGUACAAACUUGAGCCUAACCUAGAAGGUUCUUGGCUACGUGUAUUCUUUAGAUAUUGUUGCCUAAACUUGUGCCUUUCACUAUUUCAAGAC